rnacentral:rRNA from 1 species
AAGCUCGUAGUUGAAUUUCGGGGUUAGUAGGUUGGUCAUGCCUCUGGUAUGUACUGGUCUCACUGAUUCCUCCUUCCUUAUGAACCGUAAUGCCAUUAAUUUGGUGUUGCGGGGGAAUUUGGACUGUUACUUUGAAAAAACUUAGAGUGUUUAAAGCAAGCUAACGCUUGAAUACAUUAGCAUGGAAUAAUGAAAUAGGACGUUCGAUCUUAUUUUGUUUGGUUUUCUAGGUAUUGUACGUAAUGAUUAAUAGGAUAGUGGU